CAGCCGCCGCGGUAAUACGGAGGGUGCAAGCGUUAAUCGGAAUUACUGGGCGUAAAGCGCACGCAGGCGGUUUGUUAAGUCAGAUGUGAAAUCACCGAGCUUAACUUGGGAACUGCAUUUGAAACUGGCAAGCUAGAGUCUUGUAGAGGGGGGUAGAAUUCCAGGUGUAGCGGUGAAAUGCGUAGAGAUCUGGAGGAAUACCGGUGGCGAAGGCGGCCCCCUGGACAAAGACUGACGCUCAGGUGCGAAAGCGUGGGGAGCAAACAGGAUUAGAGACCCGCGUAGUCCCUGUCUCUUAUAA
rnacentral:rRNA from 1 species